rnacentral:rRNA from 1 species
UACGUAGGCAGCGAGCGUUGUUCGGAGUUACUGGGCGUAAAGGGUGUGUAGGCGGUUUUCUAAGUUUGGUGUGAAAUCUCCCGGCUCAACCGGGAGGGUGCGCCGAAAACUGGGAGACUAGAGUGCGGGAUGGGAGAGUAGAAUUCCUGGUGUAGCGGUGAAAUGCGCAGAUAUCAGGAAGAACACCCGUGGCGAAAGCGGCUCUCUGGAACGGUACUGACGCUGAGACGCGAAAGCGUGGGGAGCAAACAGG